GACGUAGGGCGCGAGCGUUGUCCGGAUUUAUUGGGCGUAAAGAGCUCGUAGGCGGCUUGUCGCGUCGACUGUGAAAACCCGUGGCUCAACCAUGUGGUCUGCAGUCGAUACGGGCAGGCUAGAAUUCGGUAGGGGAGACUGGAAUUCCUGGUGUAGCGGUGAAAUGCGCAGAUAUCAGGAGGAACACCGGUGGCGAAGGCAGGUCUCUGGGCCACUACUGACGCUGAGAAGCGAAAGCGUGGGGAGCGAACAGG
rnacentral:rRNA from 1 species